GAUGAACGCUGGCGGCGUGCCUAAUACAUGCAAGUCGAGCGAACGGACGAUACGCUUGCUUCUCUGAUGUUUGCGGCUGACGUGUGUGUCACACGUGGAUACCCUACCUAUAUUUCUGGUAUAACUUCGGGAAUCCGGCUCUUAUCCCGGAUAAUCUUUUGAUCCGCAUGGUUCAUAAGUGAAUUUCGUUCUUUCUGUCUCUUCUCGAUGUUUCCGCGCUGCAUUAGCUAGUUGGUAAGGUAACGGCUUACCAAGGCAACGAUGCAUAGCCGACAUGAGAGGGGGAUAGGCCACACUGGAAGUGAGACACGGAACAGACGCCGACGGGAGGCAGCAGUAGGGAAUCUUCCGCAAAGGGCGAAAGCAUGACGGAGCAACGCCGCGUGAGAGAUGAAGGUCUUCGGAUCGUAAAACUCUGUUAUUAGGGAAGAACAUAUGUGUAAGUAAAAGAGCACAGAGUGACGGUAACAAAUCAGAAAGCAACGGCUAACUACGUG
rnacentral:rRNA from 1 species